GCAAUAAAUGAUACUGAAAUAAAACCAGGUAACCUACUUAUUUACCCCAGUCAAUUCAAACGGUUGGAAUCCAUUAAGUGAAUCGACUUUUCAUUUCAACAUCCCAUCACGAUAGCUAUUCCCAAAGAAAGUAAACAUCAAUUGCUAUCUAUUUUGAAACUCCAUCUUCACAAAGUGUUCUUUCAAUCUGGCCAUUGUGACCAUCUUCCAUCCAAAGCAGACUCUUGGCUCCCCGAACCUUCUCCCAUCAAGUACAAUAUCUCUCCUCUUUCAAGCGUAUUCUUUGCAAGUCUGUGACCUUUUGAGUUUUCUGAUAUAUGAAUAUGCUGAAAAUGAAUUUCUCGAAAGCACAUUUUCAUAUUCUAAAUAUCUUUGAUGAUCGCUCCGAUUAUUGAUCUGCUAAUGAUGUUGUUUGGCACUUUUUGAUUGUUGUUCUGGAAUCCCCCAUGAUAUUGAUCGAUUGUAUGCCCAUUGAGAUGCCUAAUUUUAAAGCUUCAAAACAUGCAUAUGCCUCUACUGCAAAUGGAGACGAAACGUUGUUGUGGAGAGUCAAUUUUGAUAACAGUAGUUCUCCCCUCAAACCCCAAACCACCAGACUUGGCGCCGACUGGAAGUUUUUAUUGUCAAAUGCUGCAUUAAACUGAAUCUUUGUUCUCGGUAUGUCUUCCUGAUCCCUGUGGUUUUUGUUGAUAAUUAAUUAAUGGGCUCUUAACUCCUUUCGCACUUUCAUAUUCUUCCAUGUAUCUCUGCACUCUUCUUGCGAUAUCUAUUCCCGUCGACUCCUUCCUUUGGUGAAAGUAUUUAUUCUUGGAAGACCAGAUCAUCAACAAAGCAUAACAAAAAAGUCGACAGUGUUCAUCGGAACCACUCGUAAACACUCAGGGUAUUGACGAAAUAUGUGAAAGCUAUCUUCAACCCCGAAAUAGCAGCGAGGAUAUCUGUCAUUUGAUAGGAUUCUUCUGUACUUGAGAUUAGCAAGAUGAGUGAUGAAAUCCCAUGAAAUUCUCCAAACAGUAGUUGUAAUUUUUGAAGGUAGCUGUAGGUUCCAAAGCUUCCUGUAAAUUUUUUUUAUUUCGGCACGUAUUAAAUAAUUUCUAGGAUCAGUAGUAGCUCCUUGUGUAAUGGUUUAUAGGCACUACGUACUGAGUAUUCGCUCGACGGUUCUCCUUUCCAUACUUGAAAAUCCUCAUGGUCUGUCUCUGCAAGAGGGAUCUGUCAGAUUUUUUGAGCAACAUCCGCUUGAAAGGAAUUAUUUAUCAAAUCUGUUCUCCAUUUCCUGUUUGAUAAAUCAAUAAGAUCCGAAACAACUGUUAGCUCA